CAGUGUGUGACAAAAGUUCACAUAUUACAUUACAUUACUGGCUGCUGAUCUGAUGUGAAAUGAAGGCCAAAACCCCAUCAUCAGCGUAAAAAAUAUCCAGAAGCCUUUGUGAAGCAAAGAUGGGUCUUUAGGUGGAUUUAGGGCUAAUGAUGGAAAUGUGAUCUUCAGGUGAUUUUCAGCUCUGUGUGUGUCUAAAGAAAAACAAAGUGAGUUGAAGCAGAAGAGCAAAGUGUAAGAGUU